GUGAAGAACGUAGCAAAAUGCGAUACUUGGUGUGAAUUGCAGAAUCCCGUGAACCAUCGAGUUUUUGAACGCAAGUUGCGCCCGAAGCCUUUUGGCCGAGGGCACGUCUGCCUGGGCGUCACGCAUCGCGUCGCCCCCCACAAUUCUCCGUAAAGGGAACGUGUGUUUUGGGGGCGGAUAUUGGUCUCCCGUGCUCAUGGCGUGGUUGGCCGAAAUAGGAGUCCUUUCGAUGGACGCACGAACUAGUGGUGGUCGUAAAAACCCUCGUCUUUUGUUUCGUGCUGUUGCUCGCAAGGUAAACUCUUUAAAAACCCCAAUGUGUCGUCUCUUGACGACGCUUCGACCGCGACCCCAGGUCAGGCGGGACUACCCGCUGAGUUUAAGCAUAUCAAUAAGCGGAGGA
rnacentral:misc_RNA from 1 species